AUGGGCAUGACGGAAAUGGUAGACGUGUUAGGUUUAGAUUCUAAUGUAAAUUACAUCGUGAGAGUUCAAAUCUCUCUGCCCAUA
rnacentral:tRNA from 1 species